rnacentral:rRNA from 1 species
UACGUAGGGUGCAAGCGUUGUCCGGAAUUAUUGGGCGUAAAGAGCUCGUAGGCGGUCUGUCGCGUCUGCUGUGAAAACUCGGGGCUUAACCCCGGGCCUGCAGUGGGUACGGGCAGACUAGAGUGCGGUAGGGGAGAUUGGAAUUCCUGGUGUAGGCGGUGGAAAUGCGCAGAUAUCAGGAGGAACACCGAUGGCGAAGGCAGAUCUCUGGGCCGUAACUGACGCUGAGGAGCGAAAGCAUGGGGAGCGAACAGG